rnacentral:rRNA from 1 species
AACGUAGGACGCGAGCGUUAUCCGGAGUUACUGGGCGUAAAGGGCGGGUAGGCGGCUCAUUAAGUUGGUUGUGAAAUCUCCUGGCUAAACUGGGAGGGAGCAAUCGAGACUGAAGAGCUAGAGGACAGCAGAGGGUCGUGGAAUUCCGGGUGGAGUGGUGAAAUGCGUAGAGAUCCGGAGGAACACCAGAGGCGAAAGCGGCGACCUGGGCUGUAACUGACGCUGAACCGCGAAAGCCAGGGUAGCGAACGGG